rnacentral:lncRNA from 1 species
ACAGAGCUAGUAGCCACUUGAACAAGUGACUAACUGAGUAACUGGGGGUGUAUCACCCAUGUACACAAUCGCGUAAAAAGGUUAGUGACUUUUUCAGGCAAGGAUAAGAAUAAGUGCUGCUAAAAAUAAAAAGAAAGAGAGAAGAAAAGGGGCAAGUCACUCCUAGGGGUUGCAUUAAAACUAACAUAAAGGAAUAAGCAUGAUUGAUUCAAAAACCUUUCUCUUGACCAUGGUAGGUGAAAGGAAACAAGGAAAGGAGAGGAUGACCUUAGUGCAUGUACUCUAUAAUGUGAUAAUUCAGAUUAGGAGUCUAGGGGGGGCUGAUUAAGUGGUACUUAGGCUCUAAGGAAAAAGGGGACUUGAUUGGCUAAGUUAUUUGUUGCUUGAGGACAAGCAAAAAGCUAGGUGUGGGGGUAUUUGACCAAGCAUAAUUUAGCCAUGUUUUUAAUAUAUUAUUUACUGUUUAUUUACAUAUUUUUCUAACUUAAAUUGUGUUUUUGUUAUGUUUUUAUAGAAAAGGAAGAAAUUGAAGAGUUGGAGAAAAAGUGCAGAAAAUGACAGCAAAAGUGAUUUGCCCAGUGAUUAGCCCAACUCACUCUCAGAAAAACUGGGCAAAUCACCUUGACAGCAGAACUACAGAGACAGAAACUGGACUGAAUCCCAGAGAGCAAUUUGCCCAGUGAUUUGCCCAAAUCACUCUCAGAAAAACUGGGCAAAUCACCUUGACAGCAGAACUUGACAGCAGAGGCGGGAAAACAGCUGGAAACUGAAUUUUGAGUUUUCAGAAGUCCAAAUCCAACUCAAUCACUACCAAAUCAAUUCCAAGAGCCACGAAAGAGUUUCUCUCUUAAGGAAUUCCAGUUGCAAUUAAAUUCAACAUCAAAAGAGGAAUCACAAGCCAAAUUAAAAAGGGAUUUCAAAACCCUAGAAGGAGAGAUUUCUUCAGCUAUAAAAGGGGCAACCUCCAAACCAGCAAAGCAUCUUCUGCUGAGGAAUUGAACUCGCCAAAAACUCUCCAGCAUCUUUUCUUUUUCUUUCUUUUCAUCUUUUGUGUAUUUUAGUCACCAUGAGUGGCUAAACUCAUUCUUUUCUAGUUGAAGUUGAGAAUAUUCAGAUUUGUGAUGAAUUGGGAGGUUUAAUACUCCAUUGUUGAACUCUUGUUUGUUUCAAUAUUUAUGCAAUUUGAUCUUUUCUAUAAAUAUUACUUUGCCUUUAGAAUCAAUAAGGGCCCAUUGCUUUUAAAUUGCUUAGUAAUAUUGUUUGAAUGGUUUAGGUCCGUAAUUGCUUUGAUUGUUCAAAUUCACAUUUAAUCAGGUUGCAUAAUCUAAACUUGACCACGCGGUUGGCAAGGAUAGAAUUGGGUUUCUCNNNN